rnacentral:lncRNA from 1 species
UAUAACAAAAUUAUAUUAACAAGUGUCCGUUGAUUUAAUUAGUAUAAUUCCAAACAUGUUUAAACUAAUUCUACAUCCGUUAUAAGGGAAACACAAAUGAGUGUUCAAAUAUAAAAUUGAAUGUUGUAUUUUAUUUGUUUCGACAUAUAUAUAGCAAAUAGAGUAGAAUAUAGACUAAAUAAACGCAUAAGAUUCUUCACGCUACUGUUUAGUAUGAAUCAAGUAUUAAAGAAAAUAGAAUAAAUUACAACCAAAAGCAAUUGAAUCAUCAGAAUUUUUUUAUUGUCGUCAAGACUUAUACUGGGACUAAACGUAAGAGAAUUAAUACAUAGGUAAAUAGGAAACUCUACGUCAAUUUCGCAACAAUGAUGGAAUUUAAAUGAACUUUUGUGUAUAAUGGAGAACAGAUGGAAAACAACAGGAACUUCUUUGUACUUUAAAUGUAAUUUUGAUUUAUAUUUCUGUAUAUUCGUAUUAUAAUAAGACUAUAUGUGCUUGCUUG